UGAGCGUGUGUUGAGUGUGAGUGUGUCCGUGUGUGUGUAGGGGUCGGGGUGGGGGGGGGGUCCGUGUUUGCGAUCUGAACCUUUGGUACCUACAAGGAGGGUGUCUCACGGAACGUAGCUAAAACCUCACCAGAACCGCGCGGAAGUGAGGAGUCCCGGCCAAAGGCGCUCGCUGGAGCCUUCUUUCUGGGCCGGACCCCAACCCAAGCGGCCGAACGGAGCCCCCCGCCCGGAUCGCAGGUAACAAAAGAAAUACAAACCAGUACACCGUCUUCUGGGGGAAGGGGGACAGGAUGGGAAACCUUCUGUAACUUGGUCAUCGGCAGAGAAACUUUAUACAAUUCCAUGAGAAAUUUUAUUAUUUUUUUUCCGACAGAAAAAAAGCAGAAAGAAUAGGGUGGGGGUGUAGAAGUAGAAAAAGGCGAGACUCGGCGCAUUCCAGCCCCUCUUCUUUUAGCUGCUGCAGCCGGAAGGCGCGCUUGAUGCCGGCAGAAGCGAAGGAGGUGAAGUUCAUUUGUAGACAUGGAACCCUUUGGGGGGGGGGGGCGGGGGAGCCCAGGGAAUGAAUCAGUUCUCACAGCCCCUUAAUACACACACACACACACACACACACACACACACACUCGCGCGCUCUCUUUCUCGCACAUGCACCCCUUGCCCUUUGCCAAAAAAAAGAAAGGAAAAGAUUCUUAAUCCCAAACCGCGAGCGUCUACCCUUUGGUCUAACGCACGCCCAGCGACGAACUCGCCCCUAGCGAGCUGCCGCAGCUUGCCGGGCCCCCAGCCCCGAGGCCGGGCGAUCCCGCCUCCUAACGGACCUGCCUUCCGUUUGCAGGCGUCCGCACAGCCUAGAGCAACCCUCCGCGGAGCCAGCCGCCUCCUGCUCCAGCGGGCGGGUGUCUACCUGCAGCCUCUGCCCUAGCCCUAGCGCCUACCCCAGCUCCUUGGAACCCUCUGUCCAGUGCAGACGAAUCCCAGGGCCUCCGUCAGCCCCGAGCAUUAAGCGCCUUUCGGGCAACUUGAGAAGAGGGGGGGUGGGCGGGUAAAAGAAGGAAGAAAAAAAAGAGGCUGAAUAAGGAACGGGAGAGGGUAAAUUAGAGAGAGAAGGGGGAAAGAGAGGCUUCAAUCCCCACCAACCAACAUCCAAACUUUCGGAGGAUGGGAGUAGAGGAAGAGUCAUUCCGAUUGAGGUGAAGGGGCAUGGGGCAAGCGGGGAUCCCGGGCAGUACCCGCGCGGUUGUGGAGCUGACAGCUUCCCCAAGCCACCAGAAUGCCCCAAGCUCACGGUGAAGGCAGAUAGCGAAAAGACAGGAAAAAGGAGAGAAAACUGCUCGGCCAAACGUGGAUAAUCUGCCACUUAAUCCAAAAGUUAAAUCCCGAAAAAUCAUCCCCCCCCAAAAAAAAAAAGUGGAAAAUCAGGUCCCUUAGUGCCCCUUCCCUCCCUCGGCAGAGAAAAUCCUUGAGCCAAGUAAAGGGGGAAAAGGGAUAGAAAAGGGGGGCAGAGCGGAAGAGAUGGUCGGGAUGAGGGGAUGUGUGCGAGAGCAAGCAAGAGCAAGCGAGCUAGGGGCAGAGAGGGAGAGAGGCGGAGAGGGAGAGGGAGAGAGAGGGAGCGAAAUAUCAAAGAUUGUGCAAGAUCAGGCUGGAAAGAUAAUCGAUACUCGACCUAAAUUUAACACAAACUACUCAAUAAAAGUUAAAGAAAAAACUUACUUUCCAUUUCCCCUGCAGUUCCUACUCGAUCUUCGCCUCUUUUUUGUUUUGCUUUUAUUUUACUUACAGCUGAUCACAUCCAAGUAAAACGAGAGGGU
rnacentral:lncRNA from 1 species